CUUUAAGAAACUUAGAGAUGUACUAAAUCAGUUUUCGCAAAUUAAUUUCAUUGAAAACUUAAAAGAUGUGCAUGUAAGAGAGUAGCUGGCAAGUGAAAACGCAAUAUAGUCAGAUGCACAAACUGAUGCAUUAUGCAGUUACCGAUGGGAAAGCUAAACAUGGAGACAAUGGGUGGUUUUCCUGAGUGCAUUUUCAUGUCAGGACGACUUUACAUUUUGCUUAUUGGCCUAAUUCUGUCUGGUAGUAAGUUACACUUAUUCUAUUGAUUAUACUUUAGGGAAACUGCUGUUAAAAGCCCAUGUAAUCACUUUGGAAUGUGACCCGAGACACUGUAAGGUAGUAGUAAAUAAAUAAUGUUUGAUAUUAGUAUAUUAAUUACCAUUUUGUUUCGUAGCCCUCCAGAGUAAACUUUGAAUACACUGAGAGGUAGAAAGAAAAGAAUGAAGUUCUAUUUGAUCCUGGUAAUUUAGUGAAUCCCUAAUCAUUAGAGGAUUUGGCAGUAAUCUUAAAGCAGGUCUGUCAAUGCCAGUUAAGUGAAAGUUCUUUGUUCCCGCUAUCUCCAUUAAAUGCUAUUUCAACUUAAAUUGGGGUGAAUUAACACAAACAUUUCUGUACUAUAAAAAUUGUGAAAAUAAUCAGAUUACAAACAGGGUGGCAAUUCUCAUUUACAGAUUUACUGUUUUUACCAAAUCUGGAUUAUCCUGAUGGAUGUAUU